rnacentral:rRNA from 1 species
UACGUAGGGUGCGAGCGUUGUCCGGAAUUAUUGGGCGUAAAGAGCUCGUAGGCGGUUUGUCGCGUCGACUGUGAAAACCUGGGGCUUAACUCUGGGCCUGCAGUCGAUACGGGCAGACUUGAGUUCGGUAGGGGAGACUGGAAUUCCUGGUGUAGCGGUGAAAUGCGCAGAUAUCAGGAAGAACACCGGUGGCGAAAGCGCUCUGCUGGACCUUAACUGACACUGAGGGACGAAAGCUAGGGGAGCGAAUGGG